AAUAGAUACCCCCGGUAGUCCACGCCGUAAACGAUGAGUGCUAAGUGUUAGAGGGUUUCCGCCCUUUAGUGCUGCAGCUAACGCAUUAAGCACUCCGCCUGGGGAGUACGGCCGCAAGGCUGAAAACUCAAAGGAAUUGACGGGGGCCCGCACAAGCGGUGGAGCAUGUGGUUUAAUUCGAAGCAACGCGAAGAACCUUACCAGGUCUUGACAUCCUCUGCCAACCCUAGAGAUAGGGCGUUCCCCUUCGGGGGACAGAGUGACAGGUGGUGCAUGGUUGUCGUCAGCUCGUGUCGUGAGAUGUUGGGUUAAGUCCCGCAACGAGCGCAACCCUUGAUCUUAGUUGCCAGCAUUCAGUUGGGCACUCUAAGGUGACUGCCGGUGACAAACCGGAGGAAGGUGGGGAUGACGUCAAAUCAUCAUGCCCCUUAUGACCUGGGCUACACACGUGCUACAAUGGAUGGUACAAAGAGCUGCGAACCCGCGAGGGUAAGCCAAUCUCAUAAAGCCAUUCUCAGUUCGGAUUGUAGG
rnacentral:rRNA from 1 species